GUCAGGAUGAACGCUGGCGGCGUGCCUAAUACAUGCAAGUCGAACGCUAACCUUCGGGUUAGAGUGGCGAACGGGUGAGUAACACGUAGGUAACCUGCCCAUAAGACGAGGAUAACUACUGGAAACGGUAGCUAAUACUGGAUAGGAUAUUGAAUCGCAUGAUUUAAUAUUUAAAGAUGCGUUUGCAUCACUUAUGGAUGGACCUGCGGCGCAUUAGCUAGUUGGUGAGGUAACGGCCCACCAAGGCGACGAUGCGUAGCCGGACUGAGAGGUUGAACGGCCACAUUGGGACUGAGACACGGCCCAGACUCCUACGGGAGGCAGCAGUAGGGAAUUUUCGGCAAUGGACGCAAGUCUGACCGAGCAACGCCGCGUGAAGUGAUGAAGUUCUUCGGAACGUAAAAUUCUUUUAUUUGGAAAAAACGUAUGUUGUAGGAAAUGACAAUAUAGUGAUGGUACCAAAUGAAUAAGCCCCGGCUAACUAUGUGCCAGCCGCCGC
rnacentral:rRNA from 1 species